UGGGGAAUAUUGGACAAUGGGCGCAAGCCUGAUCCAGCCAUGCCGCGUGAGUGAUGAAGGCCCUAGGGUUGUAAAGCUCUUUCAACGGUGAAGAUAAUGACGGUAGCAGGUAAAGAAACCCCGGCUAACUCCGUGCCAGCAGCCGCGGUAAUACGGAGGGGGUUAGCGUUGUUCGGAAUUACUGGGCGUAAAGCGCACGUAGGCGGACCAGAAAGUUGGGGGUGAAAUCCCGGGGGCUCAACCCCGGAACUGCCUCCAAAACUAUUGGUCUAGAGUUCGAGAGAGGUGAGUGGAAUUCCAAGUGUAGAGGUGAAAUUCGUAGAUAUUUGGAGGAACACCAGUGGCGAAGGCGGCUCACUGGCUCGAUACUGACGCUGAGGUGCGAAAGUGUGGGGAGCAAACAGGAUUAGAUACCCUGGGUAGUCCCACACCGUAAAACGAUGAAUGCCAGUCGUCGGGUAGCAUGCUAUUCGGUGACACACCUAACGGAUUAAGCAUUCCGCCUGGGGAGUACGGUCGCAAGAUUAAAACUCAAAUGAAUUG
rnacentral:rRNA from 1 species